GGCAUUCUGGUAAGAACAGUUCUUACUGUAUGUCAGUAGAAAAUGCAAAAGCCUCCUUUGACUUUUGAAGAAUUCCUCCAGUCUCAAGACUUGAAGGACUGGCCAAGAGAUGUCUUUUUGGAUGAGCCUUAUUCUUUGGUGGAUAACUUAAGAAAAGACUGUUCCAUCCGUGCUGUCUCUAAGAGUCUGUAUGAACAUGCUCCAUUGACCUUCAGUUCACUCUCAGAUUUGGAGAAGAGAAUGAACACAUGCCUUAUUGUACUAAAGAAACAUGCUGAAAGAAUAUUUUCAUUACAGUGUGGACCAGCGUCUCUUGAAGAACAGCUAAUUGCUCCUGAACAGAAGAUUCCUACUGAGCAAACUGAUUCAGAAGAACUUCUGACUUGGAAGAGUGAGAUGAGGAAAACAAAGAGUUGUCAUUACCCUGGUUUCAAGGCAAAACACCUUUUAGAAUUACCAAGACAUUUGGAAGCUUCAAAACUUUGAGACUUAGUUGUAAAAGCUCAACAUUGCCAAGUGUAUCCUGAUUGCUUGUCGCAAGUCAUUUAUAUCACUUCCUGUGAAGCAUUUCCUGAAUCCCUUAGAAGAUUUGAUGAUGAUUCUAUGGACAGAUUGGUAGAGUUAAUUUUUCAAUGGAUAUGAG
rnacentral:lncRNA from 1 species